CCUACGGGAGGCAGCAGUGGGGGAUAUUGGACAAUGGGGGAAACCCUGAUCCAGCGACGCCGCGUGAGUGAAGAAGGAUUUCGGGAUGUAAAGCUCUGUCAGCAGGGAAGAAAGAAAUGACGGUACCUGACCAAGAAGCCCCAGCUAACUACGUGCCAGCAGCCGCGGUAGUACGUAGGGGGCAAGCGUUAUCCGGAAUUACUGGGGGUAAAGGGAGCGUAGAGGGUGAUGCAAGGUUGGAGUGAAAGGCGGGGGCCCAACCCCCGGACUGCUCUGGAAACUGUGUAACUUGAGUGCAGGAGAGGUAAGCGGAAUUCCUAGUGUAGCGGUGAAAUGCGUAGAUAUUAGGAGGAACACCAGUGGCGAAGGCGGCUUACUGGACUGUAACUGACGUUGAGGCUCGAAAGCGUGGGGAGCAAACAGGAUUAGAUACCCUGGUAGUC
rnacentral:rRNA from 1 species